rnacentral:rRNA from 1 species
UACAGAGGGUGCGAGCGUUGUUCGGAAUUAUUGGGCGUAAAGGGCGCGUAGGCGGUGCGGUAAGUCACCUGUGAAAUCUCCUGGCUCAACUGGGAGCUUGCAGGCGAAACUGCCGUGCUGGAGUGUGGGAGAGGUGCGUGGAAUUCCCGGUGUAGCGGUGAAAUGCGUAGAUAUCAGGAGGAACACCUGUGGCGAAAGCGGCUCACUGGACCACAACUGACGCUGAUGCACGAAAGCUAGGGGAGCAAACAGG